rnacentral:rRNA from 1 species
UACGUAGGUGGCAAGCGUUGUCCGGAAUUAUUGGGCGUAAAGCGCGCGCAGGCGGUCCUUUAAGUCUGAUGUGAAAGCCCACGGCUCAACCGUGGAGGGUCAUUGGAAACUGGGGGACUUGAGUACAGAAGAGAAGAGUGGAAUUCCACGUGUAGCGGUGAAAUGCGUAGAGAUGUGGAGGAACACCAGUGGCGAAGGCGACUCUUUGGUCUGUAACUGACGCUGAGGCAUGAAAGCGUGGGGAGCAAACAGG